AUUUUCUGCUCCUGAAUUCAAAGAUUAAAAUGUGUGGUAUAUCAGUACUGGGAUUUAUGAGGACAAUGUGGUUAAUUUAAAUGCCUUUUGGAGCAAAUAGGACGUAUCUUAUUCCAAUUUUUUGAAGAUAGAGAAAGUGCGUGGUCCUGAACACAACAGGAUAGAAUGCAACUGAAGAAAUGGCUGGUGCAAUUCAGCAAGGUAAAAGAUUAUCUUACCCCCAGCUGG
rnacentral:lncRNA from 1 species